UACGUAGGGUGCGAGCGUUGCCCGGAUUUAUUGGGCGUAAAGGGCGCGUAGGCGGCUCGACACGUUCGUUGUGAAAUCGCCCGGCUCAACUGGGCGGGGUCAGCGGAUACGGCGUGACUGGAGCAAGCUAGGGGGCAAUGGAAUUCCCGGUGUAGUGGUGGAAUGCGUAGAUAUCGGGAGGAACACCAGUGGCGAAGGCGGUUGCCUGGAGCUUUGCUGACGCUGAUGCGCGAAAGCGUGGGGAGCGAUCCGG
rnacentral:rRNA from 1 species